AUUGUUGGAUAGCGAGUGUUUUUUGCAACUUUUAAAAAAUAACUUACGAGUGUGAAAUAAAUUCCAUAUCCAACAACCACUCGUUGUGUAACCUCUAUUUCCAUAAUAGACAAGGUCCAUAUUAGAAAGGGAAAUUGUCAGUACCAACUAUCAAAAGUUGGUAUUGAUAGGUAUCCGGAUUAGACAGAGGCUGGUUUUAGCCAGAUUAUACUGUAUAUUACAUUCAUAGGCAUAUAUAUAACAUGGAAAACACCAAUGUUAAUAUUCUAAUAUCACAGUUCAAAACUUGAUAGAUAUGAAAUAUUAAUUCUUCAUGGAAUGGGUCGCUUACAUAAUGGAAUCAACACAACAAGAAAAGCUGCUAUGGGAUUCACACCUAACUCCUCUAUACACAGUGAGGAGAACCAUGGACCUACAGUUUAUUGAUGAAAUGCAUGUAAUGUUGAGUAUGAUAUAAUUAUAUUGUAAGCUUUGUAGUGUUUCCUCACUUGCCUAUCACACUUAACAUUUCUGUAGGUAAUCACACUUAACAUUUCUGUAGGUAAUCACACUUAACAUUUCUGUAGGUAAUCACACUUAACAUUUCUGUAGGUAAUCACACUUAACAUUUCUGUAGAUAAUCACACUUAACAUUUCUGUAGGUAAUCACACUUAACAUUUCUGUAGAUAAUCACACUUAACAUUUCUGUAGAUAAUCACACUUAACAUUUCUGUAGGUAAUCACACUUAACAUUUCUGUAGGUAAUCGCUUUACAUUUCUGUAGGUAAUCACACUUAACAUUUCUGUAGGUAAUCACUUAACAUUUAUGUAGGUAAUCACACUUAACAUUUCUGUAGGUAAUCACACUUAACAUUUCUGUAGGUAAUCACACUUAACAUUUCUGUAGGUAAUCACACUUAACAUUUCUGUAGGUAAUCACACUUAACAUUUCUGUAGGUAAUCACACUUAACAUUUCUGUAGGUAAUCACACUUAACAUUUCUGUAGAUAAUCACACUUAACAUUUCUGUAGGUAAUCACACUUAACAUUUCUGUAGAUAAUCACACUUAACAUUUCUGUAGGUAAUCACACUUAACAUUUCUGUAGAUAAUCACACUUAACAUUUCUGUAGAUAAUCACACUUAACAUUUCUGUAGGUAAUCACACUUAACAUUUCUGUAGAUAAUCACACUUAACAUUUCUGUAGGUAAUCACACUUAACAUUUCUGUAGAUAAUCACACUUAACAUUUCUGUAGAUAAUCACACUUAACAUUUCUGUAGAUUAUCACACGUAACAUUUCUGUAGGUAAUCACACUUAACAUUUCUGUAGGUAAUCACACGUAACAUUUCUGUAGGUAAUCACACUUAACAUUUCUGUAGGUAAUCACACUUAACAUUGCUUUAGUUUCUAAUCUUGUCAGUUUUGAGAAGAUUUUAUUUAUAUAUAGCUCUAAAAAAAAAUUAAAGUUUAGCACACAAUGUACCAGGUUUGAAGAAAUUUGGUCAAAUAUUACAAUUUCAAUGGGUGAAAAUGGUUUUGACAAAUCACAUAAACCUCUGUGACUUCAUAUGCCAUCCCCCAUUAUGCUUCAAUACCACAAGUUUGUUGCCCUCAACAGCCGAACAUACCAACUUCAAACAAAAUAGGUCAAAUAUUACAGCUAGAUUUUAUAGACCAAAUGGUUUCAACAAACCUGAAACCUUGGUUUUUGCAACCAUGACAACCAUCUCCAAAAACAUUAAAUGCAUUGACAUCCAUUGUCAAGAUCUUGUGAAAGAUAGAGUAGGCAUUCCAUAUACUUCUAAAGUGUACCAGCCAACUUCCACUUUCUGAUGAAUACUUUGUUGAUGGGGAAUAAAAAUAAAUAAAUAAAAAAUAAAAUCAUCAUGAAAACUGAUAAAAUAAGACACUAGAAUGAAAGCUACUAAAGAGCGAAACAUGGUAUCUAUUUCAUCAAGCACAUUAUUUCUGUUCCCAUAACAUUAAUGCUACUACAGGUAAAACAAAAUACUGGUCCCAAAUGAAAAUAUAUUCAACAUAUAUAUUAGCCCUAAGUGGCAUCGUUAUACAAGUUCUUGGUUAAAGUUUCAUUUCCACACAGAAACACAAACCAAAACAUUGGUUCCAGUUAACAAUAUUUUAUAUAACAUGAUAAAGUUUUCAUCGUGUACAGUACAAACAUUUGGUUGCUAGGAAACCACAAAAAUAAUUACACUGAAUAUGGUUAAUACAAUAAUUUAUUGUUUUGUCUGAGGUAUAUAAAGUUUGUCAUAACACGAAACCAUUAAAACUGCUUCAAACCACAAAAUAAAUAUCCAUGAAGAUUCAAUUUUAGAUAGUACUGCCUGAGCCUGCUAUUUAUAGAGAUUGUACUUACACUAAUUUUAGGGUGUACGUUUGUUUUUGUUUGUUUGGUUUGUUUUAUUGUUUAACGUCCUAUUAACAGCCAGGGUCAUUUAAGGA